rnacentral:lncRNA from 1 species
GUGUAUGUGGUGGGGUGAUGCUGAGGACACUUGUAAUAGCUGUUCUUUCUUUUAAUCUAAAGGCUUCUGCAGAAAAAAGAAUGUAUUCAGACACCAUAAAAGUUUGUUCAAUGAACCAAAUGAAUUUCUGUCUAUGCAUUAAAA